CAAAGCCGGUUGGGAAUUAAUGUGGGAUUAAAUUUCGAAUGCAACGUCGAAAAACCCUUACCCUCCCUUGACAUGCUAGGAAGCUCGCAGAGAUGUGAGUGUGCCCGAAAGGUAACCUAGACACAGGUGCUGCAUGGCUGUCGUCAGCUCGCGUCGUGAGAUGUUGGGUUAAGUCCCGCAACGAGCGCAACCCUUGCCAUUAGUUGCCACAUUAAGUUGGGCACUCUAAUGGGACUGCCGGUGACAAACCGGAGGAAGGUGGGGAUGACGUCAAGUCCUCAUGGCCCUUAUGGGUAGGGCUUCACACGUAAUACAAUGGCCGGUACAGAGGGCAGCCAACCCGCGAGGGGGAGCUAAUCCCAGAAAGCCGGUCGUAGUCCGGAUUGCAGUCUGCAACUCGACUGCAUGAAGCCGGUAAUCGCAUAGUAAUCGUCGUUAUACUAGCUACG
rnacentral:rRNA from 1 species